rnacentral:rRNA from 1 species
GAUGAACGCUGGCGGCGUGCCUAAUACAUGCAAGUCGAGCGAAUGGACGAGAAGCUUGCUUCUCUGAUGUUAGCGGCGGACGGGUGAGUAACACGUGGGUAACCUACCUAUAAGACUGGGAUAACUUCGGGAAACCGGAGCUAAUACCGGAUAAUAUUUUGAACCGCAUGGUUCAAAAGUGAAAGACGGUCUUGCUGUCACUUAUAGAUGGAUCCGCGCUGCAUUAGCUAGUUGGUAAGGUAACGGCUUACCAAGGCAACGAUGCAUAGCCGACCUGAGAGGGUGAUCGGCCACACUGGAACUGAGACACGGUCCAGACUCCUACGGGAGGCAGCAGUAGGGAAUCUUCCGCAAUGGCCGAAAGCCUGACGGAGCACCGCCGCGUGAGUGAUGACGGUCUUCGGAUCGUAACACUCUGUUAUUAGGGAAGAACAUAUGUGUAAGUAACUGUGCACAUCUUGACGGUACCUAAUCAGAAAGCCAGGGCUAACUACGUG